rnacentral:rRNA from 1 species
GACGAACGCUGGCGGCGUGCUUAACACAUGCAAGUCGAACGGAAAGGCCCUGCUUUUGUGGGGUGCUCGAGUGGCGAACGGGUGAGUAACACGUGAGUAACCUGCCCUUGACUGUGGGAUAACUUCAGGAAACUGGGGCUAAUACCGGAUAGGAGCUCCUGCUGCAUGGUGGGGGUUGGAAAGUUUCGGCGGUUGGGGAUGGACUCGCGGCUUAUCAGCUUGUUGGUGGGGUAGUGGCUUACCAAGGCUUUGACGGGUAGCCGGCCUGAGAGGGUGACCGGCCACAUUGGGACUGAGAUACGGCACAGACUCCUACGGGAGGCAGCAGUGGGGAAUAGUGCACAAUGGGCGGAAGCCUGAUGCAGCAACGCCGCGUGCGGGAUGACGGCCUUCGGGUUGUAAACCGCUUUCGCCUGUGACGAAGCGUGAGUGACGGUAAUGGGUAAAGAAGCACCGGCUAACUACGUG